AUUGAACGCUAGCGGGAUGCUUUACACAUGCAAGUCGAACGGCAGCGCGGACUUCGGUCUGGCGGCGAGUGGCGAACGGGUGAGUAAUGUAUCGGAACGUGCCCAGUAGCGGGGGAUAACUACGCGAAAGCGUAGCUAAUACCGCAUACGCCCUACGGGGGAAAGCAGGGGAUCGUAAGACCUUGCACUAUUGGAGCGGCCGAUAUCGGAUUAGCUAGUUGGUGAGGUAACGGCUCACCAAGGCGACGAUCCGUAGCUGGUUUGAGAGGACGACUAGCCACACUGGGACUGAGACACGGCCCAGACUCCUACGGGAGGCAGCAGUGGGGAAUUUUGGACAAUGGGGGCAACCCUGAUCCAGCCAUCCCGCGUGUGCGAUGAAGGCCUUCGGGUUGUAAAGCACUUUUGGCAGGAAAGAAACGUCGCGGGCUAAUACCCCGUGGAACUGACGGUACCUGCAGAAUAAGCACCGGCUAACUACGUG
rnacentral:rRNA from 1 species